GAACUGAUGAACAUGCAACUGGCCAAGAAAUUGAGCAAAAAUAUAGCUGAGAAUACCCGAGACCCGAGUCUUUGUUUCUAAAUUUGAAUCAAUGUAUUAAUAAAUCGUUCUGUGUAUGCAAUGUAAGUAUCAUUUAAUAAUGAGUAGCGUAAAGAUGUAAACGCACUUUUUGCGGCUUAUUACAGUAAAAGCAAGUAUUGUAUAUUUGUUUGUCACGUUGUUAAAUUCGCUAAACUUCUGUGUGAAUGUGAUAGACUACCUGGCGUUCCCUCGAAACGUCGAAGUUUUGUCUAUUUAUUUUCAGGUAGGCUAUCACAUUCACACCAAGAUUUACACAGAUGUUUUAUCGAAGAUUCUACCAGCGGUCAAGCGUUCGAGAUAAAUUCGCUAAUAUUGCAUAAAAACACGAUGUAGUUUAUAUUAUAUCUAUUUCACUUUAUAGAAUGUUUAUCUACAGCUGCACCCAAGACGAAAUACAUUAAUCCGUGUUCGUGUUGUCAGCAAGUAGUUGGAUAGUUUUUUCCACCGGCACAUAAUUUCGUGAACAAAGACGAGACAUAGGCCUAUUUUAAAAACGAUGUUGACAAUAUUAUGUUGACAACAUUAUGUUGACAACAACAUACUGUACAGUAUUAAUGUUGUCUUUUUAUAAAUUAUAGUUGUACAUUUGCCUUUUUAUGUCAAUUACAGUAAACUUUAUUUCAAUUUAAUAUCGUGUGAUUUCACCACAUACUUGAAUCAGGUUGUUUUACAUUAUAUGAUUAUACUUUGUCAGUUUAUAUAAUUUUUAAACCGAAAUCCUCACAUGUAUGAUGUAUCCUCCAGACCACACAACUCACAAGUUAAACAUGUGUUAAUCAGAUACACAUGACACCAUUAGGUAGCCUUAUGGAGAUACCUAAUAGGAUAUGGAAACACAGCUAGUAGCUAUUGCAAAACUAAAAGGUAUAAAUUGUGAUGAACAAAAAGAAAAUAUAUAUGUUUCUCAUAGACAUAGGGAUGCCAGAGAGAGGGGCAAAUCUGCUCUUUUCUAAGGGGGCUGAAGUGCCCUUUUAAUGUAACGUGUGCACAUACUAAAACCUCCAAAUACAAGAGACUUCAACAGUAAAUCUGAUUGAUUAUUUUAUGUUGAGACUAAUAUAUUGCUUUAAUAAGCAUCAUGCAUGCAUGCAACCACAGAUGUGCCUCAAAGGGAAAUUACAG